rnacentral:lncRNA from 1 species
CAGCACAACUCGCUGUGAGCCCGGGCAAAGUUCUGCCAGUGCCCUCCUUCCAUUCCGGGUACGCUCGUGUCCCUUAAAGCAACCUCUGCUGCCCUGGGAAGCUCAGCCGGGCUCUGGAUCGCUGCAGGAAUUUUGUCAGGGGUUUGAUUAAGGUUUCAGUUCAAGGAGUUGUUAGGGAGUUGAUUUUCCAAGGUUUCAGUUCAAGGAGCUGUUAGGGAGUUGAUUUUCCAAGGUUUCAGUUCAAGGAGCUGUUAGGGAGUUGAUUUCCCAAGGUUUCAGUUCAAGGAGCUGUUAGGGAGUUGAUUUCCCAAGGUUUCAGUUCAAGGAGCUGUUAGGGAGUUGAUUUUCCAGCCCCUGGGAGCUGCUGGGUUUGCUCAGCAGCUCUGUGCUUUCUCUGAACAGCAGUUUUAAGCCUUUGCAGUUCGAGGACACCUUAAAUCUUUUGGUGGGCGAAAAGGAGCUGCCAGUGAUCUCCCAGCCUGAUGGGAAUCACGGACAGAGAUAAAACAAUUAAUGAAUUCAUUAGUUCUGCACGCAGCAUGUGGACUUUGGGUUUUUAUUCGGGUCUAAUCAACACUGACCACUCCAGGAACAGAUUUUGGAAGAAUUUGGCAGCUUUGCAGUCGACAGUUUCCCAAAGGAUUUGGUGGCAGCAUGGAUCAGCCACUGACAGCUGCAGGAGAUGGAACGGGGCGAAUCGCAGAAUCCUUUGUGGAAGACUCCAGGAUGGAGUCCAAGCUGUGAUUAGCGAGCCCUGCACGGAACACCGGCGGGAACGGACACCGGGAUGAGGAGGAGGGCGGUGCUGGACACGGCGUGACCUUGGUGGACACGGGGGUGAGGAUGGUGAUGGACACGGGGAUGGUGAUGAUGGACACGGGGAUAUGAUGAUGGACACAGGGAUAGGAUGAUGGACACGUGGGCACUGAUGAUGAUGAUGGACACGGGGAUGGUGAUGAUGGACACAGGGAUAGGAUGAUGGACACGUGGGCC